AACCUCUGCAAUGCGGGAAACCGUGACAGGGGGAUCCCAAGUGCUCAUGCAUUGCAUGGGCUGUUCUUUGGUCUAAGUAACCAGAGGAGUAAGGGCUGGGCAAGACCGGUGCCAGCCGCCGCGGUAAUACCGGCAGCUCAAGUGGUAGCCGCGAUUAUUGGGCCUAAAGCGUUCGUAGCCGGAUAAGUAAGUCUUUGGUUAAAUCCUGCAACUCAACUGUGGGAAAUCUAGGGAUACUGCUUGUCUUGAGACCGGGAGAGGUUAGAGGUACUCCUAGGGUAGGGGUGAAAUCCUGUAAUCCUAGGGGGACCACCUGUGGCGAAGGCGUCUAACUGGAACGGGUCUGACGGUGAGGGACGAAACCUAGGGGAACGAGCCGG
rnacentral:rRNA from 1 species